UGGGAGAACAUGGAGGUCUCUUCCUGCUCCGAUGUUCUGCAGUCCUGCACGUCCAGGUUAGCAGAAGGAAAAGCAGUAUCUUCUCCUGUCAGGAUCUUCUCCAUGACCCAAUUAAGCAAACCAAUGUCUCUUGACACUCAGAAAGAGCAGAGAAAAGCGUUCUGCCUGGGUGUUUCCUGCUCCUCUUAGAUACAGUUUGCUUCCUGGCCUGUAGAUGAGGAAGCCAACUUGCUUUUAUCUCUAGUGCUUUCUGGCUCACCUCCAGGCCUAAACUUUGGCCUCAGUUUUGCCCUAACAUUUUAGAUCCUGUGAUAGGCUGAAUAAUGGUGCCCACAAAUGUCCACAUCCUCUCCUAAUCUCCCAAAUCUGAAGAAGCAGGAAAUUUAUGCUACAUAGUAUGGAUUUUGUCCAAGGGUAGGGAAGGACCAACCCCGCAGCAGUGCUGGCUGAUGGUAUGGGAAGGUAGCAACUAUUUUAGGGAGCAGCUGAAGGCUGGGGACGACACAGACUUCUGUAAUGAGACACUAAGACCAAUAAAUCAGCUGCCAGGGAAGGAGGCGGAUGCUGCAGGGGAUAUGAGCCCUGGGAGCAGGGUGCUCAAGCUCCCUCCUUUCUUCUAGCCUUCCACAUGAGGAUGUAUUCACUGACUGGGAACUGCAAACUCCACGUGAUCUAGCCCCUCCCCUCAGCUAGAAGUUCUACAUCCAGGAAAAGGCCCUGUACAAUCAAGAAACAGCAUAUCAUGGGCUGCUUCUCGCCCUGAAAGCCUCUGUUCACUUGAGAAGAAGACAAAACCCUCCCAUUCUGAGAUGGGAAAGCAGAGGCAAAAGGGAUACACUUGGGGAAAAUCGCCUGAUGCGAAGAGAAGCAAGACCCCUGAGUCUUGGCACCUUUAGCUGCCUCACUCACCUCAAUGGACCCACGAAUGAAGGAGCCACAGACUCGUGAACCUGCAAGGCUACCAUAUUGCUUUGUGGAACACUGCCUUUCGGGCAAGAAAAGGAAGAAUAAGGCACGCUGCAAGGGGCUCAAAAUGAGAGUGGCUUAUACUUUACAGAGGGGCAGCCCACCCGGAAACCCUCGGCAGGAGGCCCUUGUUUGCUGAGAGUACAGCAAUUUGGAAUCAGCAGGGAAGUCCCGGCCCCACUGGCCCUUUUAUGGAUGAGGGUCCUCUGCCUCUGGGGUGUCAAAGCCAAGGACGGAUGACCCUGGGUGUCAGGCCUCCCCGGAGUCUCACUGUUAUCCCUCACCGUUGCUCAUCUGCUCUCACUGUCUUGGCCUCUGACAGUCCUCCUGCCCCCUCACUUAAUAAUUAACAUAUCAAUAAAUUGAAAAUUUAUCAAAUGUUUAUCUAACAUUCAUUAGAUAUCCAUAACACUCCAGAUAUUGUGGUAGGCAAAAGUUAAGAUUAAGAGUGCUUAUCCUUCCAGAGGGCACAGGGCCAGCGGGAGAGACAGACAAAAGUAAAAUUACUAAAAAAGUUGGCUCAUCAAGGAGAUGAUAUCCAGGAGAAGGGGGCAAUAGAGCUGACUUUUGACAGGUGACUUGAGUGACAGACAAGAUGUCCAAGUGGGUUUCACAGCAGGGAGGAAACAUGGGGAGGCACAGAAGCCGGGCACAGCUAGGUGCGUUCACAGCCGCAGCAGCCUGGCAUGCUGAGGGUGAACACGGAGGUGAGAGAAUGAGGAGGUGAGGCUGGAGCUGUUGGCAGAAGUCUGAUCUGCACCCCGAGAAGCAGCUUGGAUUAUCCUGUACAUAAAAGAGAACACCCUAAGCGUUUUAAAGAUGCAGCAUUAACAUUAUUUUGGGAGCAGCGUGGUAGAUGGAUUACAGGGGAUUGAGGCAAGAUGCUGGAACAACUUAGGAAGAUACUGGAAUAGAGAAUGGGAAGGAA